GAGAGUUUGAUCCUGGCUCAGAACGAACGCUGGCGGCGUGGAUUAGGCAUGCAAGUCGAACGUGAAAGGGAGCUUCGGCUCCUGAGUAAAGUGGCAAACGGGUGAGUAACACGUGAAGAACCUGCCCGGAAGUGGGGGACAACACUCCUAACGGGGUGCUAAUACCGCAUACGCAUGCGGGGUCGCAUGAUCCUGCAUGCAAAGGUGGCCUCUGCUCGCAAGCUACCGCUUCCGGAUGGCUUUGCGUCCCAUUAGCUCGUUGGCGGGGUAACGGCCCACCAAGGCUACGAUGGGUAGCUGGUCUGAGAGGAUGGUCAGCCACACUGGGACUGAGAUACGGCCCAGACUCCUACGGGAGGCAGCAGUCGAGAGGCUUCCGCAAUGGGGGAAACCCUGACGGAGCGACGCCGCGUGGGGGAUGAAGGCUUUCGGGUUGUAAACCCCUUUCAGGUGGGAAGAAAAGCAGGCGGGUGAACAAUCCUCCUGCCUUGACGGUACCACCAGAAGAAGCUCCGGCCAACUCCGUGCCAGCAGCCGCGGUAACACGGGGGGAGCGAGCGUUGUUCGGAUUCAUUGGGCGUAAAGGGCGCGUAGGCGGCCGAGCAAGUCUGGCGUGAAAUGUACCGGUUCAACCGGGGCGCUGUGUCAGAAACUGCACGGCUUGAGGUCGAGGGGGGAAGGUGGAAUUCCUGGUGUAGCGGUGAAAUGCGUAGAUAUCAGGAGGAACACCCGUGGCGAAGGCGACCUUCUAUCUCGAUUCUGACGCUGAGGCGCGAAAGCCAGGGGAGCAAACGGGAUUAGAUACCCCGGUAGUCCUGGCUGUAAACGAUGGGCACUAGGUGUGGGAGGUAUCGACCCCUUCCGUGCCGCAGCUAACGCAUUAAGUGCCCCGCCUGGGGAGUACGGCCGCAAGGUUGAAACUCAAAGGAAUUGACGGGGGCCCGCACAAGCGGUGGAGCAUGUGGUUUAAUUCGACGCAACGCGAAGAAUCUUACCGGGGCUUGAACUGCAGGGGACAGCCGUGGAAACACGGUCUUCCCGAAAGGGAUCCCUGUAGAGGUGCUGCAUGGCUGUCGUCAGCUCGUGUCGUGAGAUGUUGGGUUAAGUCCCGCAACGAGCGCAACCCUUGCCGUUAGUUGCCAUCAGGUACUGCUGGGCACUCUAACGGGACUGCCGGUGGUAAGCCGGAGGAAGGUGGGGAUGACGUCAAGUCCUCAUGGCCCUUAUGUCCCGGGCUACACACGUGCUACAAUGGCCGGCACAAAGGGAUGCAAUACCGCGAGGCGGAGCCAAUCCCAAAAAACCGGUCUCAGUCCGGAUCGGAGUCUGCAACUCGACUCCGUGAAGUCGGAAUCGCUAGUAAUCGCGGAUCAGCAUGCCGCGGUGAAUACGUUCCCGGGCCUUGUACACACCGCCCGUCAAGCCAUGGGAGUCGGGGGUACCCGAAGUCGCCGUACCAACCCGCAAGGGAGGCAGGCGCCGAAGGUAAAACCGAUGACUGGGGCUAAGUCGUAACAAGGUAGCCGUA
rnacentral:rRNA from 1 species